GAAAUCUUUGUCACUUGUUUCAGUUUAGAGAUAUGCAAAGUCACUGAAAAGAAGCAAGUUGGAUCCCAGGUCUGGAGUAUGGCUUUAACCUGUCUAAAAAGAAUGUGUCUAUUUACAAGGGUCUUGGGCAGCCUGGAAGCCCAGGAAAAAGGUUAACAAUUUCUCUUGAAGACUUCUGCUUCUGGCCAAAGUGGAGUAAUAGGUUCAGAUUUGCCCUCUUGCCUGAAACAAUAACAACAACAACAACAAACACAAUAAAGAUAUAUGAAGGAAUGGUUUUCAAGACAUGGACAUCAGGUGACAAAUGACAGUGAUUCCUGGGAGUUGAGGAGAGUUUUACAAUUGCUCCAGCUUACAGCCCUGAAGAAGUUCCUAGGGCACAGUUCAGGAAGGUGGAACCCAGAUGGAGCCUGGAAAAUGCUCUGAGUUGAGGAAACAGAGAUAAGAGUAUGGGGAGACCAAAGCAACUAGAGUUUGCAGGAUAGAUGAUGGAGAGGAGAGAGGUGCACAGAGAGAGCCCAGGAGAUCCUCAGGGGUCUCCUCAAGAUCGGUUCAACUAAGUACCAAUCAGCACAUGUGUGUGAGGAAACCAUCUGCGAGGAUUAGAAGCAGCGCUGCUCAGUGCUCACUCAGGGCUGAGAACAGUGCCAGUUCCCACCUGCCAGAUUGGAAAGUCCCAUGAUUCCUGGGGCACUCAGUAGUUUGUACAGAAGGUCCUUGCCUCAGAAGUGGGCAAUAAAUAACCCUAGACUGAGCACUUCUCAGCACCCUUGAAAAAAAAAAUCAUAAAAUCAAAACCUGAGGAUCCAACUGUUUCCAAGUAGUUUAACUUAUCCCAGAGCAAAGUUCAAAAAUAUAUAUAGGAAUCCAAAAAUAUUUAACACCCAGCAAAGUACAUUUACAAUGUCUAGUAUCUAAGCAAAAAUUACCAGGUAUGAGAAGAAGUAGAAAAAUAUGACCCAUAUUAAAAAGGAGCCUAGGCUUUUCCCCUCACUCAGCUGUGAUGAGACACUCUACCCCAGUGGAGUGUCCACAGAGGCCAAGUGAGGACUGUGGACUUACACAACCACCUGGCAAUUAUGAAGCAGCAGUCCCCUUUCCUGACUGGCACAGUGUCAGACAGGGCCUGCUAAAACAGAAAAUUUAAAUAAGAUAUAAUGUCUUAUAUAAUUCCCCCAAAGCCCAGGAAUUAAUAGAAAAUCACUCAUCAUGUCAAGAACCAGGAAAAUCUCAACUUGAAUGAGAAAAGACAACAAAUGCCAAUGUUGAGAUGACACAGAUGUUGACAAAAAUUUUAAAGAAACCAUUAUAAAAAUGCUUCAAUGAGUAGUUAUAAACAUGCUUAAAACAAAUUUAAAAAUAGAAUGUCUCAGCAGGAAAACACAAGACAUAAAGAGGAGCCAAAUAGGCUGGGUGCGGUGGUUCACCCCAUUAAUACCAGCACUUUGGGGUGCUGAGGUAAGAGGAUCGCUUGAGCCCAGGAGUUUGAGACCAGCCUGGGAAACAUGACAAAUUCCUGUCUCUACAAAAAACACAAAAAGAGCUGGUGUGGUGGUGCGUGCCUAUAGUCCCAGCUAACUCAGGAGGAUGAGGUGGGAGGUUGGCUUGAGUCCAGAUGGCAGAGGUUGCGGUGAGCUGUGAUUGCAUAAUUCAAGAAGCUAAUGAACCUCAAACAGAAUAAACUGAAAAGAAAUCCAUGACAAAGCACAUCAUAAUCAAACUUCUGUAAAACUAAGACAAGACAGAAUGAGAGAAAUGACACCUUGCACAGAGAGGGAAAAUAAUUUGAAUGACAGAAAUUUUUCAUCAGAAACUGUGGAGGCCAGAGGGAGGCAUCACACAUUUUUCAAGUCCUGAAUGAAAAGAACUGUCAGCCCAGAAUCCUAAUUCAGUGAAAAUGUCAUUCAGGAAUAAAAGGGAGAUUGCCUAGCUAUAUUAAAACAUUAUAAUUUAGCCUAAUGUAAUUUUCUAGGCAGUUUCAGUCAGUUUUUUGCUACUCUCUGAUGUUCAAGAUAGAAAAAGUUAUUUUACAAGCAAGCUGAAUACAAAAUAAUGGAAAUAGUUUGUAAAACCAGUAUAUAUUAUAUGCCUAUAUUGCACAUGUUAAAGCACUCCAUUAUAAUACAGUAUGUAAUCUACUGUUUUUGAACGGUUUUGUUCAGCAUUUGGCUAUUUAAAAAAUAUUUAUAAAGAGAUUUAUUUCUUUCAGUUCUGGAGGCAGGAAAGUCCAAGGUUGAGGGGUUCACAUCUGGUGAGGGCCUUCUUGCUGUGUCAUCCCAUGGCAGAAGGUGGAAAGGUAAGAGGGCAUGUGUGUAUAUGUGUGACGGGGUGGAAAAGAGCGAGAAGGAGAAAAAGAGAGAGAGAAGUAAGAAGAUCAAAAUCACCCUUUUAUCAGGAACCCUGUUUUAUCUGGGAAACAUAACAGCAUUAAUCCGUUCAUGAAGGCAGAGGCCUCAUGACCAAACCACCUCUUAAAGGUCCUACCUUUCAACAUGGUUGCACUGUGAAUUAAGUUUCCAAGAAUAUUUGGCUCUUAAGUACAUUUUUGUUGUUGUUUCCAUUUAGAAUUUCUUUUCUAGAGCUUGCUUUAAUUUUAUUCAUUCAAAACUUUGCACUUGCUUUCUUUUCCUAUAUUUAUUUCCUUUUUAGGUUAUGAAGCUUUUUGAGGUGGAACCAAGCACAAUUCUUGGAUCUAAAUAAGCAUUUGAUUUAAGUUAUCUUUGAGCUUUUAAUAACUUAAUGAACAUUCUAUGCUAUUCUAUGGGAAAUGCUUGAGUUUUUCAUUUGCUUAUAUUUUCUUUAUCAAUUUUGUGUCUUUUGGGUAAGUAAAGGACAUAAAGUAUGGAAUACCUUAAUAAGACAGUGAAUUAAAUCUAUUCCCCUGAUUUAACUACGAAAAAAGUCAAUAAUAAGAAAACAAUCUCCCCUUCCCCAAAUAGGACAACUAUUUGAACAACUAUUCAACCAAAGACAAUAUAUGGAUUGGAGACAAGAGGAUGCUCAACAUCAUUCAUUAGGGAAAUACAAACUAAAACCACAAUGAAAUAUUACUGGUUACCUAUUAGAAUGAUUAAAAUUAAAAAUACUGACCAUAUCGGCCAGGCAUGGUGGCUCACGCCUGUAAUCCCAGCACUCUGGGAGGCUGAGGCAGGCAGAUCACCAGGUCAGGAGAUCGAGACUAUCCUGGCUAACACGGUGAAACCCCGUCUCUACUAAAAAUACAAAAAAAGUAGCCAGGCAUGGUGGCGGACGCCUGUAGUCCCAGCUACUCGGGAGGCUGAGACAGGAGAAUGGUGAGAACCCAGGAGGUGGAACUUGCAGUGAGCCGAGAUCAUGCCACUGCACUCCAGCGUGGGUGACAGAGCGAGACUCCAUCUCAAAAAAAAAAAAAAAAAUACUGACCAUAUCAAGUAUUGGCAAGGAUAUGGAGCAACUAGAACUUUCAUACAUUGCCAGUGUAAAAUGGCACAGCCAUUUUGGAAAACAGUUUGGCAGUUUCUUACAAACUUAAACAUAUACCUACCAUGUGAUUGAGUCAUCCCAUGCCUAGAUAUUUACCUAAGAGAAAUGAAAGCACAUAUCCAUACAAAGAGUUUAUAUGAAUGCUCAUAGACACUUUAUUUAUAAUAGUAAAAAACUGGAAACAACCCAAAUGUCCAUCGAUGGAUGAAUGAAUAAAUAUCUAUGAGAUGGAAUACUACUUAGCAAUGAAAAAGAAUGAAGUAUUGACACAUGCAGCAACAUGGAUGAAUCUCAAAAUGAUUAAGAUGGAUUCUUGCUCUGUCGCCCAGGCUAGAGUGCAGUGGCGCUAUCUUGGCCCACUGCAACCUCCAUCUUUGGGGGUAAAGCGAUUCUCCUGCCUCAGCCUCCCAAGUAGCUGGGACUACAGGCGCACACUGCCGUGCCUGGCUAAUUUUUUGUGUUUUAGUAGAGAUGGGGUUUCACCAUGUUGCCCAGGCUAGUGUUGAACUCCUGAGCUCAGACAAUCCGCUUGCCUCGGCCUCCCAAAGUGCUAGGAUUACAGGCAUGAGCCACCGCACCCGGCCCCGGAAUCUGCAUUUCAACAAGCUCUUCUGAUGGUUCCUCUGCAUCUGGGAGUCGAGAAGUUCUUGCUCUAUGGCCUCUGAAGUUGCUUCGAACCCAAUUCAGAAUCUCAACCCACUCCUCUGCCUUUUCUAGUCAUAGUUACUUUUCCUUAAGUGCCACACUGGCAUAAAGGCGUUCGAUGUUCCACUAUCUUUCCUGCAGGUGUUCAGCACAUGAUCGGUGGUUUCUAGGGUCUGCCAUGGGUCUUACUAAUUAUUUGGAACCAAAUAUAACAGAAAACAAGUUUGGAAUUCUAAAAAAUCCCUUAAAAACCUUUUUAAAAAAUCUUGGACACAGCAGCUGUGAAUGGUCUGGGCCUGCCUGUGCAGUUAUUGCUGAAAUUACUGGGGCUGUUGAGUAUUUGGAAAUCAAAUCCCAGAAGUGAAUUGGCUGUGCCAAUCAGUUGUAAAAGGAUCUGGCCCUGGGAGGUUUGAUGGGUAGGGGCAAAUGGGGACAUGGGAAGAGGGUGGGAGGCUUCAGGACUGCAUGAACUGAGUAGAAAGAUUUGGCCUUUGGGGACAGAGCAUGCAACGGGCAGCUGUUCCCGGUGACCUGGGCAUCUGGGACUUACUGAGGGAGAGACGUGAUCUUGGCCUAGCUGACCACCAUCGAAACCACUCAUCGGAGGCGUGGAUGCAGUUUGCUGGGAAGAUGAGCACCGAUCUGUCUGGUGGUCACAUGGAGGGCUUUGCAGAUCUCUGACACUGGAUAUUUCCCCUUGCCCUGGUGCCAAGGACUAGGGGAGAGAUCACUCUGGGCUUGAGUCAGGGACAGGGAUGCCAGGCACAGCGAAAGAAGAUGACUGUGGUACAAACCCAGCUGAUGAAGUGGAAAAUAAAUAAAAGAGAAGGAAUCAAGCUGGUUCAUGUAGGAAGCAUGCACACACUCAUCCCAUCCAUUGUUCCACAUCGGGCACCUCCCUGAGCUAGCUGCCACUCCUGCUGCACUCUGCCACUCCUUGGAAGGCAGCACAGGGCAGUGGUUAGAGCCUUCUCUUUCAGUGUCAGACAGGCCUGGGUUCAUGUCCAGGUCUGCCACUUUACUUACUAGCUGUGGGAUGCUGAUGAGCCCAAGCUCUCUCCUAGCCUGCUUCUUGAUCAGUAAAAUGACAAUGACUAGAGUACCUAGUAUAUGGAGUUACUGCAGGACUUGAAUGUGCCAAUACAUCUAACAUGCUUAGCAUAGGGCCUGAUCAUGGUUGGCAUUUGAUAAGUGCUAGUUGUUAUCAUUAUUAAUAUUACUAAUCAUCAAAGAAAGAUCUUCAGUUGGAUAUUUGGGCAAAAUUAUGAAAUUUAUCCCUAAUCUUUUGAUUUACAGAUUGGUGUGGAUCUGUUAUUAAGUGUUUUCUUUUUUUUUUUUUAAGUUAUCUUGUUU
rnacentral:lncRNA from 1 species